AGGCUAACUUCACAAGCAUCAAGGGACCUGAGCUGCUGACUAUGUGGUUUGGAGAGAGUGAGGCUAAUGUGAGGGAGAUAUUAGAUAAAGCUUGUCAAUUAGCUCCGUGCGUGCUUUUCUUUGACGAGCUUCAUUCAAUUGCAACCCAGGUAAUCUAUGCUCUGUACUAAACUCUUAUUAUGAUCCCUGAUGUUCCACUUAGGGAAUCAAAAUUGUCUUGGAGAGUAACUCAGCUAUCUAUCAGAUCCUAAAUGUCACAUUCCAGCAUGGUCAAAAUCCAUGCAUGUAUGAUUUAUAAGGGAUUUAACUCAGAAUGGUGGUGGCUAAAACUGAGUCAACUUGGAUGAGUUGGCUUGGUGUCAGCAAGUGUUGAUGCCGUUGUUCUAGUUUGCAAUCUCCUCCCAUAGUUGGGGCAACAUAUAGAACUUAUUUCUGUUAAGUUACUUAGUUUCUUCUCAAUUGCCUCAGUAUUUUUUACUUGCUGAUUUGGAUAAGAUUGUCUGUUCAGUGUGCACAGAGAGUUGGUGCAAACACAUCUUCUAAGUCCCACCAUCCAGCAAUUUGUGGGUGGGAAUAUUAGCAUGCAUUUCAAACUUGAGUAUUGAGAAUUCAAAUUUCAAAGUGCCUAUGGAUUCCUGUCAGCUGCCAUUAAAUGGUGGGAGUUGAUGAAUUGUUUGGUCCUUCUAUAUGAUGGUUGGCUUUAAUGUAUAUUUUUUAGUUGUGGCAGUGUAAAUUUUUUAGUCCACAGAAAUCUCAUUAAGGGGCCAAAGCAUUUGGAUAUGUUUGAAGUUGAUUCAUGCUUCCGCUGCCACCAUUUCUAAGACUGAUUGACGCCUCACCUGCACUAGUACCUACAUGGUUUGAAGCUCAUAUUGGAUGAAAAUGGUUGUCAAUCGAAGUCUACGGGCAUGCUCCAUCCACACCGAGAUCCAUCAAAUCAAGUCUGGAUUACCACCUGCAUUGCUUGUAGAGAAUUGACCCAAGACAGUUUUCACACCCCAAUGCACCAUGGUGCCCAUUGCUUAUGUUCUGCUCAUGGAUAAUCUGCUAGGAAUGCUGAGGCGAUUGGACAUGAUGUAGAGAAUGGUCAUGAAUGAAAAUAUAUUUCCCUUUUAUGGAUUUUUGCAAUUCAAUUAAUUAGUGCAUCCAAAUGCAGCCCAAAUGUAGCCAACAUAAAUUCAUUAAUUGGGUUCUUGUUUUCAAUAGGUUUGCUGGUAAUUUACUCAAGGGGCAGACAGUUGGAGUGAUCGGAGCAGAAACUCCUGCAUCAAAAACUAAUGAGAACAGAUGGAUAAGAAUGAAGAGUAGCCACAAGCUCCUUCCCAAUGCUCCAAAGACAAUGGCCAC